GACGAACCGUGCGAACGUUGUUCGGAAUCACUGGGCUUAAAGGGCGCGUAGGCGGCUGCGCAAGUCCGGGGUGAAAGCCCCCAGCUCAACUGGGGAAGUGCCUCGGAUACUGCGCAGCUUGAGGGAGGUAGGGGCGGAUGGAACUUCCGGUGGAGCGGUGAAAUGCGUAGAGAUCCGGAGGAAGACCGGUGGCGAAGGCGGUCUGCUGGGCAGUUUCUGACACUGAUGCGCGACAGCGUGGGGAGCAAACAGG
rnacentral:rRNA from 1 species